CAACGAAAUCGGGAGGGAUCCUCACCGGCAGAGGUCUUCAACAGCAGCAGAAGCAGACUGCAACAGCCGGAGGUUCGGUGAGCCAAGGAAGGCAACCACAUGCUUCAAUUCCA